rnacentral:rRNA from 1 species
CCUACGGGUGGCUGCAGUGGGGAAUAUUGCGCAAUGGGCGAAAGCCUGACCCAGCGACGCCGCGUGAGGGAUGAAGGUCCUCGGAUCGUAAACCCCUGUCAGCAGGGAAGAAAGGACACUGUGCUAAUCACCAGUGAAUUGACGGUACCUGCAAAGGAAGCACCGGCUAACUCCGUGCCAGCAGCCGCGGUAAUACGGAGGAUGCGAGCGUUAACCGGAUUUAUUGGGGUAAAAGGGUGCGUAGGCGGAUUAGUAAGUCAGCGGUAAAAAUGCGGUGCUAAACGCCGUAUCGCCGUUGAAACUGGGAGUCUUGAGUGGGCGAGAAGUAUGCGGAAUGCGAGGUGUAGCGGUGAAAGGCAUAGAUAUCACGAAGAACUCCGAUUGCGAAGGCAGCAUGCCGGCGCUCAACUGACGCUGAGGCACGAAAGCGUGGGGAUCGAACAGGAUUAGAUACCCGAGUAGUC